AGAGAGAGACAUGCGCGCAUAUCAAUAAGCGGAGGAAAAGAAACUAACAAGGAUUCCCUUAGUAACGGCGAGUGAAGCGGGAAGAGCUCAAAUUUGAAAUCUUCAAGGUUUUACCUUGACGAAUUGUAGUUUAAAGAAGUGUUUUCUGCUGAAGUUUUGGUAAAAGUUCUUUGGAAUAGGACAUCAUAGAGGGUGAGAAUCCCGUAUUUGACCAUUAUUUUCAGCUUUGUGAUACACUUUCAAAGAGUCGGAUUGUUUGGGAAUGCAGUCCAAAAUGGGUGGUAAAUUUCAUCUAAAGCUAAAUAUUGGCGAGAGACCGAUAGCGAACAAGUACCGUGAGGGAAAGAUGAAAAGAACUUUGAAAAGAGAGUUAAACAGUACGUGAAAUUGUCAAAAGGGAAGCGUUUGACACCAGUGUUGUUUUCUCGAAAAUCAAUUAAAAAUGGCUCGAUUUUGUAUUGUUGAGACCUUAAAAGCUCACUGUACAUUUUUCGUGUCUUUUUUAAUGCACUUUUCGUUUAACAAGUCAACAUCAGUUUCUUUUGUUGUAAAAGGGUCAUUGGAAGGUGGCUUUCUUUUCGGAGAAAGUGUUUAUAGCCUUUGGCCUCUGCAAUCGAAGAGAUUGAGGUCUGCAGCGUAGACUCCUUCGGGGUUAGAUACAUUUGUGCUAAGUUAUAGCCUUUUCAUAGACAACUUGUUGACUAUAAUCAGUCAUGUAGCUUACUCGCUUAUGCCUAUUUUACCUACGCUUAGGAUGUUGAAGAUGUAGCACAUCAU
rnacentral:rRNA from 1 species